rnacentral:tRNA from 1 species
GCGGCUUUGGUGUAGUAGUAGCAUAACUGCCUUCCAAGCAGUUGACGUGGGUGCGAUUCCCGCAAGUCGUA